UCACUUGAAACCAUUUACAGAUGCGUGGACAUGGAGAAAUAUGCUUAUCGUCUUGUUGGGGUGGUGGAGCACUUGGGAACCAUGAGAGGUGGCCACUAUGUUGCGUAUGUGAGAGGAGAGAAACUAGAUGAUGGAGUUGCUGUAUGGUAUCAUGUCAGUGAUGCCUAUGUGCGUCAAGCUUCUCUCGAGGAAGUUCUUCGCUGUGAGGCAUACAUCUUAUUCUACGAGAAAGUUUGAGGUGGAUAUAUUUUUUUUUUUUUCUUUUUUUCUUUUUUCAUACAUUUGAUAUUUAUUACAGUUGGGGGGUGAAGUGAGCUCCCCAAAAAGACGAGGCAGAGGAAAAAGAGAAAAGGAAAAACAAAAGAAGCUGAGAUGAUGACUUAUACAUCUUUGGCAGAUAAGUAUCUAUCAGAAAAUUUGCCAAUCCAAGUUGUUUGAUAGGAUUUUCAAUCCCCUUUUCUGGAUGAACAUGAACCUGAACCUGAACACGAUGAAUUUAUUUUCAACUUAGUAUA